GAUGAACGCUGGCGGCGUGCCUAAUACAUGCAAGUCGAGCGAACAGACGAGGAGCUUGCUCCUCUGACGUUAGCGGCGGACGGGUGAGUAACACGUGGAUAACCUACCUAUAAGACUGGGAUAACUUCGGGAAACCGGAGCUAAUACCGGAUAAUAUAUUGAACCGCAUGGUCUAAUAGUGAAAGACGGAUUUGCUGCCACCUAUAGAUGGAUCCGUGCCCCUUCAGCAAGUUGGUAAGGUAACGGCUUACCAAGGAAACGAUGCGUAGCCGAUGUGAGAGCGUGGUCCGCCACACGGGUACUGGCUCACGGUCCAAACUCCUACGGUAAGCAGCAGUGGGGGAACUUGCGCAAUGGGCGAAACCCUACCAGAGCCACGCCCCCUGAAUUACUGAUGGCUUCCGGUCGUUAAACCCUGUUAUUAGGGAAGAACAAAUGUGUAAGUAACUAUGCCCAUCUUGACAGUACCUAAUCGCAAAGCCUCGGCUAUCUACUUG
rnacentral:rRNA from 1 species